rnacentral:rRNA from 1 species
GUGGGGAAUAUUGGGCAAUGGGCGAAAGCCUGACCCAGCAACGCCGCGUGAAGGAGGAAGGUUUUCGGAUCGUAAACUUCUAUCCUUGGUGAAGAUAAUGACGGUAGCCAAGAAGGAAGCCCCGGCUAACUACGUGCCAGCAGCCGCGGUAAUACGUAGGGGGCAAGCGUUGUCCGGAAUGAUUGGGCGUAAAGGGCGCGUAGGCGGCCCGGUAAGUCUGAAGUGAAAGUCCUGCUUUUAAGGUGGGAAUUGCUUUGGAUACUGUCGGGCUUGAGUGCAGGAGAGGUAAGCGGAAUUCCCGGUGUAGCGGUGAAAUGCGUAGAGAUCGGGAGGAACACCAGUGGCGAAGGCGGCUUACUGGACUGUAACUGACGCUGAGGCGCGAAAGUGUGGGGAGCAAACAGGAUUAGAAACCCUUGUAGUCC